rnacentral:lncRNA from 1 species
AACUAUUUAAACUCGCGUGUUUUUUUUUAACCUCCUCUCUUCUCGCUCGCGGCACAUUUCCUCCAGAAAAACAAUUGAACGAAUGGAGCUCUAAAAAGAAACCAGCCAAAUCGAUUCUUCUCAAUUUCUUGAACAAGGGAGCAGAAGCCUUGUGAAAAACAAUUGAACAAAGGAGCAAAAAUCUUCUCAAUUUAACGAAGGAAGCACGAAGCCCUAGAAAGAAACCAGUCCCAAAUCGAUUCUUCUCAAUUUCUUCUCCAAAUCGGGAUCGAACGAAGAAAUUGAGCCCUACAGUCGGAACCCAACCUACUUCGAAUCGGUAAACCCUUUCUUUAUUUGUCUAAUUUCGUUUUAUGUUAGGUUUUUUUAUUCUUUCUGUGUAUCAUUUUGGGUGUGAACUGGCCAUUGGGUUUGGUGUUCAAAGACUCCUAACUCUGUUUCUAUGGAUUCAGUUUGCCAAAAUCCUAACUUGAGGUUUAAUUACAUCUUUUCUUCGGAUUUUUUUGUCUAUACAAAUAAUAAUGAUGUUAUUAAAGUUCUUAUCUUUUUUUCACUGUUUGACUUCCCCAUUAUCCCAUAAUGUGCAUAUGGAAAGUGAGCAGGGUCCAUAAGAUUUUCAAUCAGAACCUCGUACCUGAAAAAAAUCACUUCAUCUUACCUAGAAGAACCCAUAGUAUUUUUAUCACAAAAUUACACAAAGAAUAUGUACAUACAUUUGCAAGAUUUUCCCCACUGAAAGGAACUUCUAAAAUAUUCCACUUGGAAACUUGGAUUACAGUACUCUUUAAUUGUUUACCGGGAAACUUGGAUAGUUUGGGUUAUAGUAGUAAUUAAUGUUAACAUGGAUAGUUUGGGUUAUAUUAGUCUAGUAACAUGUUGGUGUGAAAAUGUCUUGUAAUGCUAUAUUGAAUAUUUAAAGUACUCAUUCCAACCUAGCGUCAAGUUAUCAUUUAUAAAUUAUCUUGAUUGCGUCAGUUUUAUGUUUGUCCAGGUGUAAAUAUAAUGGAUGACAUGGAGCAUGAAAUAAGGAGUUACGGAAUAAUGUAGAAAUGGGUUUGGAAAUAGAAAUGGAUGGAGAUGAAUUGACUGCAGAA